UAGUCUGGGAAACUGCCUGAUGAGGGGGAGUAACUGCUGGAAACGGUAGCUAAUACCGCAUAAUGUCGCAAGACCAAAGUGGGGGACCUUCGGGCCUCAUGCCAUCAGAUGUGCCCAGAUGGGAUUAGCUAGUAGGUGGGGUAACGGCUCACCUAGGCGACGAUCCCUAGCUGGUCUGAGAGGAUGACCAGCCACACUGGAACUGAGACACGGUCCAG
rnacentral:rRNA from 1 species